UACGUAGGGGGCAAGCGUUGUCCGGAUUUAUUGGGCGUAAAGAGCUCGUAGGCGGUUUGGUAAGUCUGGUGUGAAAUCUCCACGCUCAACGUGGAGGGGCCACCCGAUACUGCCAUGACUGGAGUCCGGUAGAGGAGUGUGGAAUUCCCGGUGUAGCGGUGAAAUGCGCAGAUAUCGGGAAGAACACCCGUAGCGAAGGCGGCACUCUGGGCCGGUACUGACGCUGAGGAGCGAAAGCGUGGGGAGCAAACAGG
rnacentral:rRNA from 1 species